UGCGGAGGCGAAGUGUAACACAAAAAUGAGUUUUGGCUAGUUGAAAAAUGAUUGAUUAUUUUUGUGCCGGUUCAAAUUUGCUAAUUCAGUUGAAAUUCUACUGGAUAGCAUAUUUUUUUCUUCUAUGAGGGUAAUCUACCUAUUGAAAUGAAUAAAUAAUAAAACACCAUUCAAAGUUAGUAGCAUUUCUUGUCGAAUAUAUCUUAUAUAAUUUUUAUGUUUCACUUGAAUUCACUCAAGUAUGAAUAAAUGAAUGCUUAAUAAUAAUAAACCCAAUCUUAUUUACGUAUAUAGGAACAAGGUAAAUUGCAUCACCGAGGAUUUCUCAUGGAUCAAACAAUAAUUUGAUUAUAACAUUUCUUGGCCUGAAUCGUCAUUAUUUCAUUCUUUUUGCUGAUAAGGAUUAAGCGAGUUAUCAUAAAACCUCAAAAACAGCAUAAAGAUUAUCAACGUACCUAAUCUCUCUUUCCGCAAAAGAUAUAUUCUCGUGAUCAUUACAGUUUUCAACUUUGUGUUUAUUACAAUGAAUCCUUUGAAUACAAUAAUAAGUGUCGUUACUGUGUUUUUGAUUUUUACUUUUCUAUUUACAGUGGAGUCAAGUUCUUUUAGAAUGCCGGACGAAUGUAUACUGAAUCCAUCGAAAUGCAAACACGAUACAAUAUUGUACUGACAUCUUGAUUGAGAUGUAAGCAGAAUUUCAUGUUAGAUAUGGGACCAACAGCGAUAUGGAUGAGUAAAAUAUGGAAACCAAUAUAACUAUUCUAAUGAAAUUUCAUUCUGAAUAUUCCUGUAAAUGAAUAUUUCUAUCAAUUAAAAUAUAUUUAUCCUU